UACGUAGGCAGCGAGCAUUGUUCGGAAUUACUGGGCGUAAAGAGUGUGUAGGCGGUGCUCUAAGUUCGGUGUGAAAUCUCCCGGCUUAACUGGGAGGGUGCGCCGGAAACUGGAGUGCUCGAGCGUGGGAGAGGAAAGCGGAAUUCCUGGUGUAGCGGUGAAAUGCGUAGAUAUCAGGAGGAACACCUGCGGUGUAGACGGCUUUCUGGACCAUUGCUGACGCUGAGACACGAAAGCGUGGGUAGCAAACAGG
rnacentral:rRNA from 1 species